rnacentral:rRNA from 1 species
AUUGAACGCUGGCGGCAGGCCUAACACAUGCAAGUCGAACGAGUGGCGGACGGGUGCGUAAUGUCUGGGAAACUGCCUGAUGGAGGGGGAUAACUACUGGAAACGGUAGCUAAUACCGCAUACAAUCGGAUGUGCCCAGAUGGGAUUAGCGAGUUGGUGGGGGAACGGCUCACCUAGGAGACGAUCCCUAGCUGGUCUGAGAGGAUGACCAGCCACCAUGUAACUGAGACACGGUCCAGACUCCUAAGUGAGGCAGCGUGGGGGAAUAUGGCACAAUGGGUGGAAGCCUGAUGCAGCCGUGCCGCGUGUAGGAAGAAGGCCUUCGGGUUGUAAAGUACUUGCAGCGGGGAGGCGUUACCCGCAGAAGAAGCACCGGCUAACUCCGUGCCAGCAGCCGCGGUAAGAC